GGAAGGUCUACUCUAUAGUCUACAAUCAGGCCUCAGAGUUUUGGAGGCACGAGGGGAUUUUUCUCCAUUAUUCACUGUGAGAACUCGGGGAAGCUCCAGAAGGUGAGGGAGAGGGGACAACGACAUGGUUCCCGUGGAUCUUUAACUUCCAGACUUGCCCGCUCUGCGCCUCCGGCACUCUGGUGAUGACAGCUCAGGUUUCCCUGCCUGUCACUGCUCGGGCAGAGGCUGCUGCCCAGGGCUUCUGCUCCGGUACCUUGUGAAGCUGCAUUCUCCUGCCGGUUUCUCCAGUUCUGGGGACAGUGGUUUGCUCUGAGACCUCGCUUCCUUUAUGGAUCCAAGGAGACUUGCUUUUUCAGUCUGUUCAGCUUUUUACUUGCUAGGAUGGAAUUGCAAUUUGCAAGCUUCUUCGACAGGAAACUACAAGUUCCACACUUUAAUUUUAUACAUAUAAAUAUAUACAUGUGUACAUAUAUCUAUGUACAGGGGUAUUAUAUAUAUACAUAUAAGAUGAUGAUAUAUAUAAUGAUGAUAUGUAUUACUGAGAACGUAAAAUAUCAUUACAUAGUGAUAGCUGGACACACAAGGAAUUCACAACUCCCCAAAGAAAAUACAUCUGGAUGACCUGCCUAGCAGUUUCCCCAUGAGAUAGAGGAAUGUCUACGUAUUUCAUUCCCUGUUCCUGCCCUGAAACAAUUUCAAUCACUGACAAAUCAUUAUCAUUCAUUAAUAAUGUUUACUGAGUGCCCAUAUGUGAAAGAAA
rnacentral:lncRNA from 1 species